GUCUGCUUUGUUUACAUAGUUCAUGUUUUCUUCAGUUAAGAAACUUUAGAUAUAUCACACAAAUUUUAAUAUGGCUAAGUAUUUAGGUCUGGUUAAUGUGAAGCGAUGUUUGACAUUAUUAAGCAUAAUGUUGGUAUUAUACAGUCGGGUCUCAGCAGUAAUGCAGAACAGAUGAACUUUGCAUAGGUACCUUGUUAGGUGUCUAUGAAAUUGGGAGCAAGUAUUAUGAAAAUGAAAUCUAUUUUUAUGGUGCUUAAUAUGCAAAAAUGGUUGUAUUGAAGAUAUUAGCAUGAUUUUAUUAAGAGAUUGUAUUAAGAGAAUCAAGGCAAAAAGCUUGAAGAUGUUAAUUAUGCUCAAGAAUGUAUUCCAAAAGCUGCAACUCUGAGAUAAACCAAAAAAGUUUCAAGAAGAAAUUUAAUAAGGAAGAAAGGCAGUUCAGUAUAUUAAAGACAAAUCUGGCAUGGUGCUGCUUUUAAUAAUCGAAGAAACUAUGGAAUCUGGUGUUAAAAGCUGAGGGGCAUAUGCGAGGAAAUACAGUACUCCCUGGAGCAUCCAAACUCAAUUAUUGAAUGGCCAAAGUCAAAAUCAUCAAUAAACUAUGACAUGAAUGUAGCCUUAAAAAUGAUAGAGGUAUUAGAAAUUGCCACUAGAUCAUAUUGCAUAAGAGACCUUUCAACUUACCAAGCAUCUGGACAUCGAUUCAGAGAAGUACAGUUUUCAGAGAAGUUUUGGAAGAAAACUGGAAAGAGAGGAACUUGAUCGAGCCAUUCGUUCCAGCUCCAGCUGAAUUCUUUCUCAUCACUUCAUCAACAUGGAUCAAAAAGUUGAAAACUUUAGCUUUCCUAACUGUAAAGAGCUUAACAGCUGACUGAUAUGGCAGUUCGUUUACUAUAUAUGUGAAGAUUAAAAGAAUCGCCGUAUUUUCUUGAAGGACGGUUUGCAGCAGCCCAAAUUCAUUCUCAAGAUAUGUUUUCAUGUAUGUACAUUUUGAGUUGGAAUACCACCUGCAUAAAUACAUUAAUAACAUUGAGCAUAAAAUACAUUAAAUUUCAUUCAUGUGUUAUGAUUUAUAAA